GGCAGUAUCAGGCAGUCAAAAGAAAAUAUAUGUUACAGAGUCAAAUUACAGAAGCUCAAGCACACAAUUGCAGGUAUGAUCAGAACAUACAUGCAUAAAAAUAAAAGAAUAGCUGUAUAAGAUGAAGGACAAACCAACAACAUGACUACUCCACUAUGAAGGGCUUAGGACCAGAUCUGACCCAGCAAAUGGCAGAGCAGAUGAUAUAAUAUGUUGGUUUGCAGAAUGAUACAACCUACUUUGGUGAUUCGAUUUCCAUUAACAAAAAUCAUAAUAUAGUCAUCCUUUUGAAGCAAACCGUUGAAUAAAAUGACAUCAAUCCAGGAAGAUAUUUUUUGGCAUCAAAAUAGCAUCAUUUUUAGUACCAACUAUAAGCAAAGAAAAAUAAUAUCAGAUAGCCCAAAAGAAUUAUCCAUGCAACACAACUACAAUUUCGAACACAAUAAGAAUUUUAUGGCAAAUAUCAGAAUUCGGGGUUGAAAAUAAAUUAGAAUAAUAAUUAAAUAAAAAUGCUGAUCGAAUUCGGCUCAUAAGGGAUCUGCUACUUGGAGAGUUUACCUGUUUGUGUGAGACUCUCCUUUCACUUGUGAGAGCCCGGGGUGGCUGCCUUGUUCGUCGAGGCAGAGGAGUCUCCGACGAGGCACAGGGACAGUGGCGAGUCUUCAGGAAGGGGAGGCAAGG
rnacentral:lncRNA from 1 species